CAAACCGCAAUCGAUGUCCUUGGAUUUAAUUUGGAAAUUAGCAAACCUUGGUGUGUAUUUCAAAUUGGGUCAUUGCUCCUGACACUCGAGUAUUAUAAAGGUGAAUAGGUACACGUUGCCUGAUUGACGAAUAUAAGUGUUCAAUUUCAAUGAUUGAUUAGAAAGCACAGCUGCCGCUAAUGAACUUUAUCCCCUGGUGUGAUCCUACAAGGACAGUUUUAUGGCUCAGAACAGGACUUUGGCUCUUUGGCUAGAGAACUUCAACAUCAAUCACCGAAGGAAAUAGAACGUUGAGUUGAGUUGGGUAAAAUGAAGAAUUACGAUAACGGUUUUAUUAUGAAUAUUUGUCGUGUUCCUGUAAGACGAAUACUAUUCAAAG